UGAGUAACACGUAUCCAACCUGCCGUCUACUCUUGGGCAGCCUUCUGAAAGGAAGAUUAAUACAAGAUGGCAUCAUGAGUCCGCAUGUUCACAUGAUUAAAGGUAUUCCGGUAGACGAUGGGGAUGCGUUCCAUUAGAUAGUAGGCGGGGUAACGGCCCACCUAGUCUUCGAUGGAUAGGGGUUCUGAGAGGAAGGUCCCCCACAUUGGAACUGAGACACGGUCCAA
rnacentral:rRNA from 1 species